AAUAAUUAUUAUCCUGAGGAGAUAUCUUAAUUCCAGCCUGAGAUUCUUCAAUGAAUGACCUGACCAAAGGCAAGAAUUUAUGCUCUAAGCUUUCAUCACCAAUCAUGUGUAAUUUAAAAACAAAGAGAAAGGGUCCUAUAAUUAAGAACUCUCUCUUUUCUGACAUAAUUUAGGGGGAGCAAGGGGAAAUAAAAGUUGGAACACCAAAGAACCACAUGAAAUCACAAUACACCCAGAAUCAUAAAGCAGAGUAUUGGUGUUGUGUGAGUGUAUUGUCUGGUGG
rnacentral:lncRNA from 1 species